rnacentral:tRNA from 1 species
UGGGAUAUGGUGUAAUGGUAACACUGCAGAUUCUGGUCCUGCCAUUCUUGGUUCGAGUCCGAGUAUCCCAA